rnacentral:rRNA from 1 species
UACGGAGGUCCCGAGCGUUGUUCGGAUUCACUGGGCGUAAAGGGUGCGUAGGUGGCGUGGUAAGUUUGAUGUGAAAGCUCAGGGCUUAACCCUGAAAUGGCAUUGAAUACUACUGUGCUGGAGGUUUGGAGGGGGGACUGGAAUUCUUGGUGUAGCAGUGAAAUGCGUAGAUAUCAAGAGGAACACCAGUGGCGAAGGCGAGUCCCUGGACAACACCUGACACUGAGGCACGAAAGCUAGGGGAGCAAACGGG